AGAAGUGGGAUUGGGCCAUAGUCUAAAAAACGAAGAAGUCUUGACGCGACCUAACGGUGACUCUUAUUUUGUCACAUGCAGAAGCGCUUUGAAAAGCGGGCGGAUACCUUAAGAGUCCUCAGGACCACGGACUAUAAAAGCCCCCAUUUUGGCGGCUGCUCGGUCUUUCUUCACUGUCUUUGAGAGGAGCUGAGCGCUUCAGCUGUGGACUUCAUAGAUGCUUCAGCUGGAGAUGAGAAGGUAACGAGUCCCUCAUCUAUCUGCUCCCCCCAGCAGUACGUGGCUGUUUCUUCAUAAAGCCGACUAAACACUGUCGUGACAGAGCGGCGCUGGCGUUGCAUGUCAGGCUGAGUGCAUGUCUGCAGCCAGACCCUUUUCCAUCUUUAAAGGGGAUUCAGGAGGACCUGAUUAGGUACGGGAAGGCAUGGUGGUCUGUUGUGCCAUCUACUGUUCAUUCAUCAGACUGUUUAAGUAACAAGUAAUAAUAGCAGUGUUCUGCAGGUCACUGUAUAAAAAUGCAUAUUUAGUGAAGUAAACCAGACGCCUACCUGCUUGAAUCAUGUCCUGUUACCUUGAAAAUGAAAAUGCAAUAAAGUUACUUUUCCAUAAGACCAAA